CUUACCAAGAAAGGGAAGUAAUUCAAGUUCAAAAGGAGGUCUAUGAAGAAUCACAUGAGAGAAAAGUUCCAGCCAAAGUACCUGAAAAGAAAGCACCACCACCUCCUAAAGUUAUAAAGAAGCCAGUAAUUGAAAAAAUUGAAAAGACUUCUCGAAGAAUGGAGGAAGAAAAAGUUCAAGUCACCAAAGUACCUGAAGUUUCAAAGAAGAUUGUUCCACAAAAACCUUCCCGGACUCCAGUACAGGAAGAAGUUAUUGAAGUGAAAGUACCAGCUGUGCAUACAAAGAAGAUGGUUAUUUCAGAAGAAAAGAUGUUCUUUGCUUCUCACACAGAGGAGGAGGUGUCAGUCACAGUCCCCGAGGUACAAAAGGAAAUUGUUACUGAAGAGAAAAUUCACGUUGCCAUUUCCAAAAGGGUUGAACCACCACCUAAAGUCCCUGAGCUACCUGAGAAACCAGCUCCAGAAGAAGUGGCCCCUGUUCCUAUCCCUAAAAAAGUGGAGCCCCCAGCACCAAAAGUUCCUGAGGUUCCCAAGAAACCCGUGCCAGAGGAGAAAAAGCCAGUUCCUGUGCCUAAGAAGGAACCUGCUGCUCCCCCAAAAGUCCCAGAGGUGCCAAAGAAACCUGUCCCUGAAGAAAAGAUUCCCGUUCCUGUUGCAAAGAAAAAGGAAGCUCCCCCAGCUAAAGUUCCUGAAGUACAGAAGGGAGUUGUGACAGAAGAAAAAAUAACCAUUGUAACUCAAAGAGAGGAAUCUCCACCACCAGCAGUGCCAGAAAUACC
rnacentral:lncRNA from 1 species